rnacentral:hammerhead_ribozyme from 1 species
UCACUGCUGACGAGUCCCAUACUAGGACGAAACGGCCGUCCAGUGA